UACGUAGGGGGCAAGCGUUAUCCGGAUUUACUGGGUGUAAAGGGAGCGUAGACGGCAGGGCAAGUCUGGAGUGAAAGCCCGGGGCCCAACCCCGGGACUGCUUUGGAAACUGUGUAACUGGAGUACAGGAGGGGCAGGCGGAAUUCCUGGUGUAGCGGUGAAAUGCGUAGAUAUCACGCAGAACGCCGAUUGCGAAGGCAGCAUACCGGCGCCCAACUGACGCUGAGGCACGAAAGCGUGGGGAUCGAACAGG
rnacentral:rRNA from 1 species